AUCGACCCCAAGAGGCCCACCAAACAUAACACGCACGCGACAACAUGCUCGCUAUGUGGAUGAAUGGUCAGUAUCACAACACAAUUCCUCAACAUGCCUGCAAUAAUAUAUAUAGAAUGACCCGAGUGAGUCAAAUUUAACGAAUGAAUACAUAUAAAAUACACCUUAGGCCUGUUACAAAUCCUUAAGAAAGACUAAGGAAAAGCAAGUGGCGUCGAUAUCCAUGCCAAAACCACUAUCUGCGGGAAACCGUAACUAACGUCAUCCUUCACAAAGAGGUUACCCGCUCCAAAUUCUACUAUUUGAUUUAUAGCAUCCGGUUCAAAAGAAUAAAUAAAGCGACGUGAGCACCCAACUAUCGCAAGACUUACACUAGAUCUAUACUAAAUAUGCAUCCUUCUCAAGGAAAGGAGUAUGUGGUCCGAGUGGCAUCAAUCACUAACAUUCUAUAGAGACAUGCUAUAACUUACGCCUAUCAAAGAUAGGGUAAGGGACUGUAUAAGAGCCAUCUAAUCCAAACUAUAAGCAACACAACCAUACAUUUCCACCUCGAAGGGUGUCCGCCUUGCAAGCUGCGACCACAUCCGAGCCAUUUAUCCUAUCGC
rnacentral:lncRNA from 1 species